rnacentral:rRNA from 1 species
GACGAACGCUGGCGGCGUGCCUAACACAUGCAAGUGGAGCGACGAACCAGGCUUCGGCCUGGGGCAAAGCCGCGAACGGGUGAGUAACACGUGGGUAACCUGCCCCGAUGAUUGGGACAACCCGAGGAAACUCGAGCUAAUACCAAAUGUGCCCUCCGGCCGCAAGGCCGUUGGGGAAAGGAAGCUUCGGCCUCCGCAUCAGGAUGGGCCCGCGGCCCAUUAGCUUGUUGGUGAGGUAACGGCUCACCAAGGCGGCGAUGGGUAGCUGGUCUGAGAGGACGAUCAGCCACACUGGGACUGAGACACGGCCCAGACUCCUACGGGAGGCAGCAGUGGGGAAUCUUGCGCAAUGCGCGAAAGCGUGACGCAGCAACGCCGCGUGGGGGAAG